UACGUAGGGGGCAAGCGUUGUCCGGAUUUAUUGGGCGUAAAACGCUCGUAGGUGGCCACGUCAAGUCGGAUGUGAAAUCUCCCGGCUCAACUGGGAGGGGUCAUUCGAUACUGGCGGGCUCGAGGCCGGUAGGGGGAAGCGGAAUUCCGGGUGUAGUGGUGGAAUGCGUAGAUAUCGGAAGGAACAUCAGUGGCGAAAGCGGCUUCCUGGUCCAGCACCGACGUUCAGGCACGAAAGCGUGGGGAGCAAACAGG
rnacentral:rRNA from 1 species